AUAACAAUAAAUGCAUUUAUUUAAGGGGAAUCAACGAAGGUAAACCUAGCUGUUGUGUGUGAGAUGAUAAAGCUCGCAGUACAAAUAAUUCAGCCCCGAUACAUCUCAAACGACCCUAAUAAUUGGAUCGUUCCUAGACCGAUGUCAUUCGGUGUUAGUAGUACGUGACGUCAUUAGCUGCCACGUUUAGACUGCUUCGUAUGCUUUCGUAAUGCUCUAGUAAUGUUUAAGGCGGCGCCGUUUGAAGUUCAGCACAACCAUUGUUUUACGAGUGUCAGUGCCCGCAUGGUGAACACAUAAUACUAAACUUAAACUGUUACUGCGAGUGAUAUCUUCAUUUGGCCCUUAUUUACCUUAGAAACCGAAGUUCAAUUUUUUCCUUCAAUAUAAGAGAUAGGAGUUGGGUAACACUGUGCUAUAUUGUGUUGAAUGGGCCUAUAAAGCUGUAAACACUUAGCCAUACAGUGUUGCAUUCCAGUCAUAUUUCUGGGAUUGUUUUAUACAUUGGGAAUUGAGUUCCUACAUGUCUGUUCCUACCAUCAACCAUCUGGCCACCUCUCACUCUCCAAUCACUUGUGACAAAUGCAGCCACGGUAGAUGCAUGAUGGUGAAUGGGAUGGCCGUCUGUGAGUGUAAACUGGGUUACAUGGGUGCCACAUGUAGUGAUACAGUCAAUGAGGCUCUCUCCUUACCACUCACCCUCGGCACCUUGGUCUCCAUCAUCGCUUUUCUCAUCCUCUUCUUUGUGUUGGCAUUCGUUCGCCAAAGGCAAAAGGUAAAGCAGAGAAAAAGGGCAGCUGAAGAAUCCUUAAGAAGAAAUGGAGCACAUGUUUAACAUGUCUUAAUGCAGUGGUCACCAACUCUGUUUCUGGAGAUCUAUCCUCCUGCAUGCUUUAGGUCCAACCUUGCUUCAGCACAUCUGCCUCUAAUUUUUAGGUAGGCGUGAAAAGCUUGAUUAGCAGGUUUAUGUGUGUUUGACUGGGGUUGGAGGUGAACUUGUAGGAAAGUACAUUUCCAGGAACAGGGUUGGAGACCACUGCCUUAAUGUAACAUGCAAAGAACAGGUUUAGCAUUUUCACAUUACUAACUUAUAAUGCUUUUAAAAAACUCAUGGUUAGUAAAAGUAAUUACCCCCCCCCCCCCUUCCUCUUGUUCUCCCUACAAGGCACUUGACUGACAAUUAUUCUAUAUGAAAUAUUACAUGUAUAUGAAAGCAUUUGUAUUGUUUUUUUAUGAUGUUUUUGACACACUUGCAGGAGGAGUUAUCUCUAUAAACAUGUUGAUUGGUUGCUUUAAAUGUGUUUUUUAACUGAGAAGCCACAGACAGGUAUCUGUUUCAGGAUGGCAUUCAUGAAAGUCCUGGAAUUUCUAUGCUUUUCUUAUAUUUUGUUGUACUUUGUUUGUAUUUCAUAUCAACAGUAUAUUGAAUUGUAUUUAUUCAAAUUAUUGUUGGCCUCAGGCUCUUUUCUAAUACAGUGUUAGUACUUUUUAAACGUUGUUUUCAAAUAAAGAUCAAUUUUUCUUU